ACGAACGCUGGCGGCGUGCCUAAUACAUGCAAGUAGAACGCUGAAGGAGGAGCUUGCUUCUCUGGAUGAGUUGCGAACGGGUGAGUAACGCGUAGGUAACCUGCCUGGUAGCGGGGGAUAACUAUUGGAAACGAUAGCUAAUACCGCAUAAGAGUAGAUGUUGCAUGACAUUUACUUAAAAGGUGCAAUUGCAUCACUACCAGAUGGACCUGCGUUGUAUUAGCUAGUUGGUGAGGUAACGGCUCACCAAGGCAACGAUACAUAGCCGACCUGAGAGGGUGAUCGGCCACACUGGGACUGAGACACGGCCCAGACUCCUACGGGAGGCAGCAGUAGGGAAUCUUCGGCAAUGGACGGAAGUCUGACCGAGCAACGCCGCGUGAGUGAAGAAGGUUUUCGGAUCGUAAAGAUCUGUUGUAAGAGAAGAACAAGAGUGAGAGUGGAAAGUUCACACUGUGACGGUAUCUUACCAGAAAGGGACGGCUAACUACGUG
rnacentral:rRNA from 1 species